ensembl:lncRNA
AAAAUAAAAUCUUAAAAAAAAAAAAAGAGAUUCCAAGUAUUAAUGGCCCCAUCCCUCCAAAAAACAACUUUUUCUAGGAGAUCUUAUUUGUCUGAUUAGCAGGUAUUAGUGGGGAUCUGGCAGGAUUUCCUUUACUUGGUUUUCAUGAUACAGCAUUGUUCUCUUGGAAAUAUGUAUGGUUUUUAGCCUGUCAUUGAGUUCCGGGUGACCAUUAUCUAGCAGAAAUUCUUCUUUGAUUGUGCUAUAUAUAUAUCUAUGUAUCCCUUCCAUCAUUUCAUCACUGAUGUAUUUUCGUCAUUAAUGUUAAUUUUCCUUUGAUUAUUUAAAUCAUCUGCAUGGAGAAAAGGAGUAGGUGUAUAUUUCUUUCACCUAUACUCAAUCGUUGGAGGAUAACAAAAACUCAUUAAAGAUAGAAAGCUUUUGUCGAACUACCAUCUGGGACCCCAAACAAGCACAGUUCACAUCUCAGCAGUAAAGCCAUGAAUGACAUGGAAACAAUGUGGACUGAUUCUUAGGGGAGGGACUGAGAAGUCUGGAGAAAAGGCAUUGAUUGACUCCACCAAUGCCAGGCAAAAGUUCCAGAGCUAAGUAGGAAGGAUUAGCAACUCAUCUGAAACAGCCCACAAUGCUCCUCCCUUCCCCACAGGUAGCAAUGAUGGAUCAAGAACACAUCCUGGGGCCCAGCCCUGUGGCCGAAUGGCUAAAGUUCUGAGUGCUCCACUUCAGCGGCCUGGGGUUCGCAGGUUCAGAUCCCAGGUGCAGACCUACUCCACUCAUCAGCCAUGCUGUGGAGUCACCCCACAUGCAAAGUAGAGGAAGAUUGGCACAGAUGUUAGCUCAGUGCUAAUCUUCCUCAAACAGAAAAAGAGAAGGAUUGGCAACAGAUGUUAUAGCUCAGGGCGAAUAUUCCUAAAAAAAAGAAAGAAAGAAAGAACACAUCCUGGAUGACAGGAUGAAUAAAAACAGAGCCAGAAAAAUCUACUGGGAUUUGUUCCAGCCAGGGCACUAGUACAGAGAACUUGACAGUACUCAAGUUAUCAUCUUCUGUCCUGGGUGCUGCUAUCUGUAAGUGGUCUUCUAUUGACAGCAGGCUACAGGGAUGCUCUUGAUGAAAUAUGUUCCAGUGACCUCUGGAAGUUCCAUUUAAGAGAACCAUACACCUUAAGAAUAAUGGGAGGGUGGGUCGGCCCCAUGGCCAAUUGGUUAAGCUCACACGCUCUGCUUCUGUGGCCCAGGGUUUUGCUGGUUCGGAUCCUGGGCGCAGACAUGGCACUGCUCAUCAGGCCAUGCUGAGGUGGUAUCCCACAUGCCACAACUAGAAGGACCCACAACUAAAAAAUAUACAACUAUGUACUGGGGGGAUUUGAGGGGGGAAAAAAAAAAGAAUAACUGGGGUAUUCCACAUCAGAAUAAGUUUAAAUCGUACUGCAAUGAAGACUCAGAGUCUGAGCUUGAGUUUGAUAGAAGCAGGACAAACUUUAAAUAAAGACUCUGAUGCAGAGAUGGAGGAUAUAUGAGAAGAACUGUGUUUAGGAAUGAGCUUGCCUAGAGAUCAACUUCCAGAAUGGCAGAGUGAGGACCUCGGUGAACUCACUCUCCCACGAAAACAGUAAAAGUACUGGCAAAACAACUAAAAUCAACCAUUUUAGAACUUUGGAAAUUAACCAAAGCCACAGGACAAACUGAAAAUCAUUCACUCAAGAGAAACUACUGAACUUUGGUUGGAAAGUAGGAUCUGUGAUAUUUUAACUUGCGGAUGGCGUGCUCAUCCCAUCCACCUUCCCUUCCCAACUCAGUUUCAUGGUAGGCACAAAAAGCCUGCAGUCUCACAGCCAAUGGAGAGGACUGACCUCUUGUGGAGCUCGGUUAAAAGCAACAUCCCCAGAGCACAGUCAAUAUUUUGUCAGAACUUGCAGCUCCCCGGAAAAUCUCUAUUCUUAGAGAGUUGUGGCUAUUUGACUUGACUCAGAAUUCAGCUCAGCAGAAAAAAAUGCCCUACUCCCAGGGCAUUAUCAAAACAAUAGCCAUCAACUGGCAACAUGGCAGCUGCCUAAGGCCGGGCUCUCAAUUGGGAUUAACAAGAGACAGACUGGGCAUGUAAUCAUACAUCCUGGAGAACUAGAUAACCACAGGGAACUCUGAAAUGCUCCAGCAUAAUACAGGGGAUCUAAAAGGCUGUGUGAAUGCACAAGGCUGUGCACAAGCCCUGGAGAGACAGGAGAACAGAGAGGGAAUGAGUAACAGGAUCCAGAGCUCCAUUCCGAGGAGUGUGAGAAGAGAGGAAUUACUCUUCUGGACAAAUUAGAAGGGGAAAUGGUGAAAGUGAUAUAAUAGUGUGUUCCUGUAAGGGUACAAAAGUGACCCUGGCACUGAGGCUGGGCCACAACUCCUGAACCUGAGAAUCAAAUAUACAGGAUGGAAGUGAAGAGCUCAGUGGCCUUUGCCUUCCUCUAAUCUAUGAUGAAAGUCUACCUUAUGGGCAGCUGAGGGUAUCAAGAAAAGCAGGGAGACCUGGAGUUAAGGAAGGGUAGGAACGAACUAGGGAUCCUUGGGGAUAGGGCCUGAACCAUACACUCCCUUCUCUCCUUAGAGUUUUCAUUUUUGUCAUAUAUUAUCCCUGGAAUAGAGACAAUAGCUAUUACUGCAUGCUCCUGCAUCUGUCUGGGACUCACAAGAUCAUUGGAGCUAUCAGAAUAAGAAUUAGGGGAAGAAUAGGGAGAGGGGGUAAUAUGUCAAUGUAACUUCAGCACAGUCUUGAACUGGUCUCCUCCCUAGAGUAAAGCUGGAUGCUCCCUUUUGGAUGGCCCAGAAUCCCUGUUCACACUCUUCCCCAUUCCAUCAAACCCUUUCUUCUUCUGCUUUGUCCAAGUCUAGAUUCUUUUCUCUCCUCCUUUAUCUGUCCCUAUUCUCUGUAGUAUUCUCCCAUACUCACAACCAUCAGUUUGUUCCCACAUGUCCCCAGCCGUAGCUCCCUAGAGGGACCGGGUGCUAAGAUAUCCAAGUUUCUGUACAGAGACCUCAAAUACAAUGAUAACUAUUCGGUUCACCUGAAAGCAGAGCCUGAGACAAGGAACUGAGUGAAGGUAGUUUAUUUAGAAGAUGAUCACAGGAAGGACUGAGGAGAAUGAAAUAGAGAAGGAAAAGAUCAUAUAAAGGUCAUUACCUAGGUUGUUGCUGUGGGGAACAGGGGCUCCAGUUAUCCAGGGCCUCCUGAGAAACUACAGAACGCCUCUCAGAAUGGUCCAUCUGAAGGAUGGGAGGCUGGAUCAUCACCCACUCGCAUUCCCCUUUGGAUGAGUUUGCCCCAGACUGCACUUGUCUAUGGGUCUAGCAGACUCCUAUGGCAUUGGAGAAUGUCCUGGCGCGGAAUAUGCGAGAUGCACUGUAGUCACAGGCACUGUCUGUGCUAGGCACCCGUGAGCUCACAUGUAACUAUCUACCACAGCUGUGCCUGAAAGCAGGGAUAAAUCGAAGGGAUAUAAUGCAGGAGCCCAGAGGGUUUGCUGUAGGCCUCUCCUCUGAUUUUUAAAACUUUCUCAUCAGAAACCAUUAUUGAUGACAUAACUUGUAAUGGGUGUUUAUUUGUAUCACUUCCUCCAACUGAAAUUCAAAUGUGAAAUUCCUUGUUGGCAGAGAGGGAGAAAUAUACAAUUUGCUAAACCUAGGAUACAGCAACAGGAGGGAAGAGACAAGAAAGAGCUGGGAGGGGCUGCCACAUGACUCAGUAAAGGUGGAGUAGGAGAUAAUUUGAAGUUUCAAGUACUUGCAUAAAUUUCAGGUAUUUUUUUCUGUAUAAACCCAGAAAUUAGAGUGCAGUUUUACUCUAAUAUUUCUCGAGAGAAGAUUUCAAAGCUCUUGUCUGUAAAUGUUCUAUGUCUGAGGUCAAGGAAUGCUUCUUACCUUUGUUUAAAAGAUUUCCAGAGCUUUUAGUUGCUACACCUGUGGGUGGGGAGAAACAGUCAUGAUUUACACUUUUUGCAAAUAAUAAGGCAGCUAUUGAAUUCUCACAUGACGUGGGAUUUUUGUUUUUGUGUUUUUCCCAUUGGGUAUGGGUAUUCUAUGCUGUUGGAGAGGGGACAUAGUAUUUACUAACUUCCCACAAUCUCCUAGCACCUGAACCUUUACUCCAUAUGCUUUCCCAAAAGAUCUUGCUACCACAAUAGCUAACAACUUGGACAGCACAAGAUGAAUUAGAACAACGAAUAUUUUCCUCUUAAUGAUUGUAUCAUGCUUAAUUUGGAGGAAAGGAGAAAAGACAAGAGAAAAGGUGGUGGAGUCAUCAAAGGCUAUUUUGUCUGGUUUGCCUGGUGAGUGGACCCAAGUGGAGAGUUUGUUUACCCCUUGGGCCCACUCUUAUCCCCAGUGACUUUGUCCUAAAUGGUUGUUAUAAUGGAAACCACGUUAGUUAUGUCCACCAGGGAGCAUUUUCAAAAUAGAGUGUAUAAAAUUAUGUUGCAAGAUUUGUUCUUGCCUAACUGGGGAAUGAUCCAAAGUUACAAAGUGGACAUUCAGUUUCAGAGAGGGUGUGCCCUCUCUGAAGAAACCAGGGCCUUUGAGGACACUUGGGAGUAGAAAAGAAAGAUAGUACAUGUUGUCAGGAUGUAAGAGAGAUUUCUAUUGCCUCAGGGAGCUAUGGACUCAGGUAUCAUCUGUGUAUCAAGUCUUAGUACUUGAUGGACUUGAUGACCUUGAUUUUUCUUAGGAUUGUAGGCAGAUUCUGUUUGGUUAGGAAUACCCAAGCUCCCCUCUUCUCUCUUGAAUGUUAGGUCUAAUGGUUUGAUUCAAAAUAGAUAAUUUGCUUAUUGACUCACAGAAAUCCUCAUCUACCUGAGUAGACAGGAAAGUACCAGUAGUGAAUUUUUUACUUAUCUCUAGCAAGUCAAUGAGAAAACAGACACCCAGAUCAACCCUAUGCAUAUUACCGAACCUGAAGUGAGUUCGCUUACUGGUUGCGCAGCAAGCCAAUGUCUGACACCGGGUGUGGUGGAAGAAAGUAGGAAUUUUAUUUUUUUGCACAGCGCUGAGCAAGGAGAGAGGGCAGCUAACGCUUAAAUCCCAAACUCUCCGAAAAGCUAAAAGGAAGGGUUUUUAUUUGGGGCUUUAGGUAGGGGAGGGGGAGCAUAUGGCCUUGCUGGUCGGAGCUUUCCCACCAGCCUGUCUCUGGCCUUGAGACACUUGCAGAGAGGAGGGAGCUCGUGACCUUGCUGGUCAGCAGCUUUCCCACCAGCUCGUGUCUGUUUGUGGGGAGGAGAUGGUCCAGGUGCUUGUCCUUGACGGUGUCUGUCUCCAUGGAGGAUAGCGGAUUCUGGAGGCAGGAAGCCAGAGAGUAAGCAGGGAAUGAGUGUUUUGGUUUUAAACCCAUAUAUGCUAGGUUUAAUGUGGGGAAACUGAUACCAGGGUCGGUAUCAUGCUGACCAGAUUGGUAGUUUUCAAGAUCCUCAAGUACUGAAGUACUUAUAGCUUUUAUCUGCUUGGCAUCUCUGCUGUCACUUUCUUCUGAUAGCAGACUUGCCCUUUAGGCAGAGAGAAGGCAUUUGGCCAAGAUAGGUUAAUCAUAAUACCUCAUCAGCAGAGAUUAGGCUGCCAGCCUCAUGGGCAUGCACAGAUUCUGUCUCCUAAGAAUUGCAAUCCUGAGUGGAGAUACAUAGAAACAGUUUAGAAUGGAGAUGCCUUAUGGUAACAUCCAAAAGGGAAGUUCUGUGAGGUGCCUGGGCUGUUCUUCCCUCUAUUCCUUCCAAUCUAGGCAGAACAAUUAGGGAAGAAAAAGAAAUAAAAGGUAUCCAAAUCAGAAAGGAAGAAGUAAACUAUCUCUACUUGCAGAUGGUAUGAACUCUGUAGAACACCCUAAUGAAUCCCCAAAAAACUGUUAGAACUAACAAAUGACUUUAGUAAAUCGCAUGAUCCAAAAUAAACACGAAAAUCAAUGGUACUGCUACACACUAGCUACAAACAACAUAAAAAGGAAAUUAAGAAAACAAUUCCAAAUAAGUCCUGGGGAUGUAAUGUACAGCAUAGUGACUAUAGUUAAUAAUACUGUACUGCAUAUUUGAAAGUUGUAAGAGAGUAAAUCUUAAAAUUCCUCAUCAUAAGAAAAAAAGAAAAAAAAAUUUGGGGGGGCAGGCUCCGUGGCUGAGUGGUUAAGUCUGCACGCUCUGCUUAGGGGGCCCAGGGUUUCACUGGUUGGGAUCCUGCGUGCCGGACAUGGCACCGCUCAUCAAGCCAUGCUGAGGUGGCAUCCCACAUGCCACAACUAGAAGGAGCCACAACUAAACACAUGCGCAACUAUGUACAAGGGGGCUUUGGGGAGAAAAUGGAAAAAUAAAAUCUUUAAAAUAUAUAUAUAUAUAUAUAACUGUUGAGUUCAAAUCCCAGCUCAGGUGGGAUUAAGUUCAUGCCAUAACUAGAAGGACCUGCAAUUAAAAAAUAUACGACUAUGUACUGGAGGGACUUGGGGAGAAAAAGCAGAAAAAAGAAAAAAAGAAAAUUGGGAACAGUUGUUAGCUCAGGUGCCAAUCUUUAAAAAAAAGAAAAAAUUUUUGUAACUAUAUAUGGUGACAGAUGGUAACUAGACUUUUCGUGGGCAUCAUUUUGGAAUGUAUACAAAUAUCAAAUCAUUAUGUUGUACACCUGAAACUAAUAUAAUGUUAUAUGCAAACUAUAUCUCAAUUAAAAAAUGAUUGCUUGUAUAUAUACACUUUUAAUAAAAGGUAAGCUCCUUGAGGAAAAAAAAAUCCACUUAUAAUGGCAUCAAAAGAAUAAAAUACUUGCAAAUACAUUUAAUCAAAGAGGUGCAAGAAUUGUAUACUGAAUACUAUAAAACAUUGCUGGAUGAAAUUAAAGGCCUAAAUAAAUGGAAAGAAGCCCUAUGUAACGGAUUGGACGGCUUAACAUUGUUAAGAUGUCAAUACCACUCAAAGUGAACUAUGGAUUCAAUGCAAUCCCUGGCAAAAUCCCAAUUUUUUUGUCUGGCAGAAAUGGAAAAAGGCAAGAUUAUUUUAUCCAUUCUAAGUUUUCCGAUAUGAUCGCAUUUAAGAAAUGCUUUCUGAAACACAUAAAGAAUCACUAAAAAAUAAACAUUACUUAAAAAUGAAUUUAUGGAAAAUAGUAUGGCAGUUUCUCAAAAAAUUAAACACAGAGUUACCUUAUGAUCCAGCAAGUCUACUUCUAGGUAAAUACUCACAAGAAUUGAAAACAGGGACUCAGAUAUUUGUACACCUAUGUUCACAACGGCAGUAUUGUCAAUGACCAAAAAUUGAAGCAGCCCAAGUGUCUACCCACAGAUGAAUGGAUAAACAAAUGUGGUAUACAUAUAUCUAUCUCACACAUAUGUGUGAUAUAUAUCACAUUUAUAUAUAUAUAUAUAUAUAUAUAUAUAUACACACACAAACACACAACGGAAUAUUAUUCAGCUAUAAAAAGGAAUGAAGUUCUGAUACAUGCUACAACAUGGAUGAACCUUGAAAACAUUAUGCUAAGUGAAAUAAGCCAGGCAGGAAAGGAAAAAUAUUGUGUGAUUCCACUUAUAUGAGGUACGUAAAGUAGUCAAUUUCGCAGAACAGAAAGUAGAAUAGAGGUUACUAGGGGCUGGGAGCAUGGAGAAUGGGGAGCUAUUGCUUAACAAGUGCAGUUUCUGUUCGAGAUGAUAAAAAAGUUUUGGAAAUAAAUAGUGGUAACAGUUUCACAAUAUUGUGAUUAUAAUUAGUGCCACUGAAUUGUAUACUUAAAAGUGGUCAAAAAGGCACACAAAAGAAGACGACUAUUUUUUCCAAGAUUUUUGCGCUACUUCAAUGUCUAAGUCCUUUUCUUCUUUUUACCCCUUAGCAUGUAGCAAUCAUUUUCUACUUUUAAAUCCAAAGAAAUUUAAGACACCACCACCACUUUCCCAUUCAGUGCUGAUUAGGAAUCUUUUUUUUAACUUUCUUUUUUUUUAUUGAGGUAACAUUUGUUUACAACAUUAUAUAAAUUUCAGAUAUACAUUAUUAUAUUUCAAUGAUAAGGCAUCGUGAGCGAUCAUUAGAUAAGCCCUCACAUUUGUGGAUUUCAGAGAUCUACAACGUCCAUUCCACAACAAUGGCUGGAAGAAUCCAUGGGGACUGUAUGUGGCUUCCUGAAAAAAGUGAUAUCCCCACCCUCCACCCCCGUUUUCCCGAAGCAAUGGGAGAUUCGGAACUAAUUCUAGGUUGCGGAAAAAUCUUUUCUGGAAGAAGUAAAAAGGAAAAAUAAAAGAUGAUCUGAAGGGAAAUUUUAUUUUAUUUAUUUUAAAUUUUUUGUGAGGACGAUUGGCCCUGCUUGAGGAAGAUCUGCGCCCAGGAUCUGAAGCUGUGAACCCCAGGCCAGCAAAGUGGAGCACGCAAACUUAACCACUACGCCACCAGGCCAGCCUCGUGUAAACGCUAUUCUUGUCAAAAAACUAAAGAGAAACUCCCUUCAUACCCCAGUCUUCAAGUGAUUUCCAUGGAGCUGAAAUGGUUUGGAGGAGAGAAGCAACUAUAUAGACAAGUUUUUAAAGUUUGGGAUGAUCUCAUUUGGGGAUGAAAAAGACGGCUGUGCACUGAGAAUUUCCCACAGAUUAUCUCUAUUUGGGAAAAAAUAUAAGCUGAUAUUGUCUUUAUUUUAGGUUACUGAAAGAUGAGCCACAUCUAAAUAUAUUCUAUUCAUUCAAUUCAACAACUAUUUAUUGAGCACACGCUAUGUGCAGGAUACUGUUCUCAUCACUAGAGAUGGAACAGUGAACAAAACUGACAAAAAUUCCUACCCUGUGGAACUUACGGUCCAGCCGGAGGUGAGGUAAUAAACAAUAAACAUCAUAGUGACUAGUUCUUGUGGUAUGUUAGAAGAUGGUAAGUGCUAUGGGAAAAAAUAAAGCAGAGAAAGGAGAGGAUCAGAGGUAAAAGGGUUGGAGGGUUGGUUACAUUAUUAAGGGUGUUCAGGGAAGACCUCAUUUGAUUUUUGUUUUGUUUUGUUUUCUUUUGUGUGUGUGUGUGUGUUUUUUGCAAGGAAGAUUGGCCCUGAGCUAACAUCUAUUGCCAAUCUUCCUCUUUUUGCUUGAGAAAGAUUGUCAGUGAGCUAACAUCUAUGCCAAUCUUCCUCUAUUUUGUAUGUGGGAUGCCGCCACAGCAAGGCUUGAUGAGUGGUGUGUAGGUCUGUGCCUGGCAUCUGAACCUGGAAACCCCAGACCACUGAAGCAGAGCAUGCAAACUUAACCACUACAUGGCCAGGCCAGCCCCAGACCUCAUUUGAAAGGUAUCAUUUGAGCAAAGACUUCAAGAAGGUUUCUUUGGGUCAGGAGCAACUUAGCUGAGCAGUGCUGGCUUGAGAUCUCUCAUGAAGGGUCAGUCAAGAUGUCAGGUGGAGCUGCAGUCCUCUGAAAGUUCAACGGAGGCUGAGAUCCCCUUUCAAGGUGGCUCACUCACAUGGCUGAUGCCUCAGUUCUCUUCAGGCUCCGUUCCCCAAGGCUGCUUGAGUAUCCUCAUAACUUGGUGGCUGGCUUACCCCAGAAUGAAUGAUUCAAGAAGGAGAGCACCAAGUGGAAGCUACGUCCUGGAAAGUAUGGUAGCAUCUUUUCCACCAUCUGUUGGUUAUCUGUGAGUCACAGUGGAGGAAGAGAACUUCUCUUUCCCAAUAGUUUCAACCACAGUUCUAGAAUUGUUUCCCAGUAGCUUUGCCUGGGUCAUCAUCACUCUGGCCAAACAUGAGUCUUGUGCUAGUCCUUGGAGCUGAGAGAUGAGGUCAGUUCCAUCUGAAACACAUGGACUGAAAGUGGGAGAGAGAGAGUUCCCCAAAGGGAAAUCAGGGUAUUGUUACCAGAAGAAGAAGGAAUAGAUACCAGACAAGCAAAAAUAAAAGAUGUCCACUAUAGUGCCUCUGCGUUAUUGGAAAUUGUUAUGGAAAGUGUGCAUUCCUUUUAUGAAAAAACUUACAUUAAAGACAAAAAAGUUUAAAGAUAUUAACUGUCAUCUCUGCAAAGUGCAAUUACAGUAAAAUUUCUCCCAGUUUUCUAUUUAUUCCAAAUUUCCUUUCAUGGGUAGGUAUUACAUUUUUUUUCCCGCUUUUUCUCCCCAAAUCCCCCCCAAUACAUAGUUGUAUAUUUUAGUUGUAGGUCCUUCUAGUUGUGGCAUGUGGGAUGCCACCUCAACAUGGCUUGAUGAGUGGUGCCAUGUCUGCCCCUAGGAUCCAAACCAGUGAAACCCUGGGCCAACGAAGUGGAG